rnacentral:rRNA from 1 species
AGUGAACGCUGGCGGUAGGCCUAACACAUGCGAGUCGAACGGCAGCACAGUAAGAGCUUGCUCUUACGGGUGGCGAGUGGCGGACGGGUGAGGAAUACAUCGGAAUCUACUUUUUCGUGGGGGAUAGCGUAGGGAAACUUACGCUAAUACCGCAUACGACCUACGGGUGAAAGCAGGGGAUCUUCUGACCUUGCGCGAUUGAAUGAGCCGAUGUCGGAUUAGCUAGUUGGCGGGGUAAAGGCCCACCAAGGCGACGAUCCGUAGCUGGUCUGAGAGGAUGAUCAGCCACACUGGAACUGAGACACGGUCCAGACUCCUACGGGAGGCAGCAGUGGGGAAUAUUGGACAAUGGGCGCAAGCCUGAUCCAGCCAUACCGCGUGGGUGAAGAAGGCCUUCGGGUUGUAAAGCCCUUUUGUUGGGAAAGAAAAGCAGCAGGUUAAUACCCCGCUGUUCUGACGGUACCCAAAGAAUAAGCACCGGCUAACUUCGUG